UGGCUGUAGCUAAAUCAAAUGCGUGAAGUUAACUGGCCGGUUGUUGUUCUCUGUCAACGAAUCUGCUUACCGAACUUCCUACAUUU